rnacentral:pre_miRNA from 1 species
UAUGGCUUUUUAUUCCUAUGUGAUUAUCCUGCUCAUUUCAUAUAGGGAUUGAAGCCGUGCA